UACGUAGGGUGCGAGCGUUGUCCGGAAUUAUUGGGCGUAAAGGGCUCGUAGGCGGUUUGUCGCGUCGGGAGUGAAAACCCAGGGCUUAACCCUGGGCUGGCUUCCGAUACGGGCAGACUAGAGGUAUGCAGGGGAGAACGGAAUUCCUGGUGUAGCGGUGAAAUGCGCAGAUAUCAGGAAGAACACCAAUGGCGAAGGCAGCUCUCUGGGACGGUACUGACGCUGAGACGCGAAAGCGUGGGGGAGCGAACAGG
rnacentral:rRNA from 1 species